AGCCUGCUCUUAGAAUUCUCUGACUGUGCUCUUCGGAGAACCUUUUCCUAUAAGCUACCACCAUGACCAAGUUUUGCUAUUUGCCUGCAAAGACAACUUAGCAUCCUUCAUUUCUGUUCCUAAAAAUAGCAGGCAGCUACAGAAAACAUCUUUCACCACCCUGAAAUGCACAUCAGUGAAUUUGCUUAAAACUCAUUGCACCAGCUAACUACUAGAACAAAUGUGCUUGAACUGCAUGCUAGAUUCUCCCUUUUCCUCCUUUCUGAAAGAGAAAGGAACCAACUGAAAAGAUCCACAAACAUAACUCCAGCCAUUUUUAAGUAGCUGAACUAUUUUAAUGCAUCGCUGCUGCUAAUCAAAGAUCUGGAAGGGCCAAGGAAACCCAGUAUUUACAGAAAGAGGCUGUGCACCCACGCUGAACAACUAUUUCCUUGCUGAUGAAAUCCUUGCAAGUCAAUGCAACUUAUGUACUGUAUUAAAAUGACUGGGACAUUGGAUGCUGUGCAUGCUGAAGCAUGACUGCCUACACAGAACACAUGGGAGGUGCAGCGUCUGUGAGAAGAACAAAGUAAAUUUGAGCAAAAUAUGGUCAAAACUGGAUAUGGAAGUAUCUAAAGCAAAGCCACAUGUGUGCACGUGUCUGCGUUUUCUGUCCAUGAAGCUGCUGGAGCGCAAGGAGCGCAGGGCUUGGGCUUCACGUAGGUCUAUGGCAAAACAGCAUGAAUUCUGGGAUGUAGAUGGUUCAGGCUAAGCAUUAUCAGUACAGAUCUUGUCUCACAGCCCAAAGUUCUUAAAAUUUGUCCUGCGUUGGUAAACUUAAGAACAUAAGGUCCGGUGAUUAUCGAGCACACCACAGAGCACAGGGAGUCACACAGGACCUGACAGAACCUUGUGAUAUGACUUCAGUUCCGAUGCUUUUCUCAAUAUGAUACUUUCUGGUCUGUUACUGUGAUCAUCACCCAUUAGCCGCGGUCAUAAGCCACUGAGAAUAGAUUUCAUUUCUCAUGAACAAAUGUCUUUGUGAACCCAGUUCAGAAAACAGCCGUCUUGAUCUCUUGUUACUGGUUGUGCACUCCCAUUUCAAGACAUUCAGGACAUUCCAAUAUGCGUGUUACUUCUUUUUUUUUUUUUUUUUUUAAUUAAAAAUUGUAUAUGGUGAAGUUUUCUGCUGAGAAUUGUUAGUACGUGGAUCUACAGCAAGAUCUUUUUACAGUUUAAUGUGUAGCUCUCUGGUCCAUAAGCACUGAGAGAAAAGAAAUGCAUUGGAGAGCAUCAACAUCCUCACCUUUGUCCAGGGAGAGUGGCACACAUCAUGCUCAAGUUCUUCUCAUUUAGGCUGGUCCCCAGAACACCUCUGCACAUAUUGUCUAUUUUCCUUCUUCGCGUUGCCAUCUCAUUCCUUGGGAAUGCCACAAAAGUUGUGUCUGAAUUGCAUUUCCCCAGAAACAAACGGCCAUGUAUCUUAGACUUCUGGGGCUAUCAUUCUUAGGGGGAUAGUUAUGGUUGCACCAAACCCUUUCCCAGAAGGGCAGUUCUUUGAUGAAAAGAGUCCUGAGGGACCAGGGAGGAGACAGAAUGAAAGAAGAUUCUUGCUUUUCCCAUUUUGAUCUCCCCUGCCGCAACAUCUUUCAGUCCAGCAGCACGAGGUGCCAGAAAAGAUGAUGUGUUCCUCCUGCAGCUGCUGCCAGAGAGCACUGCUGGACAACACACGCAUGCUACCCUCCAACUGCUGCUGGCCUGCCUGCAAACCAGCCUUCCACAGCUGUUCUCAGCGCCAUCGCUAUCAAAUCACCUCCGAACAUUGCUGAAUGCUGCUGUCCUACCAGAGUGACUCAUCUGCCCGGGCUCCCAGCACACCCACACAAGUGUGAGUAAAGGUGGGAUUCCUGCGCUGUAACCACCACUGUCAGCGCAGAGACUGCAUCCACGCUAAGAGGCAUCACCAUCAGAUGCUUUGCUGAUCUCCAUUUGCUGUUGCUGUGCUGCUGGAGCAUGUGUACCGCUGGGUGUUCUCUUCCAGAGCUGAGCAUCCUCGUUGGAGGUGCUGGCACUGCCAGCAUGGGGCACACAGCUGCUGACACGGCUGUGCUGCUGGAGCGUGCCCACUUGGCACGUUGUUUGGAGCCGUGUGUCAGCUGUGACCUUGUGUGCUUGGUGCAGACAAUGGAGGGCCUGGAUUCUACCAAGAUACUGCACGGUUUUCGCAUGGCUGCAUAAAAAGCAGUGGCAGCAAAACAUGGCACACUUUUCUUUCUCUGCUGAUGGGAAUUUCAUGUUUAUCCAAAUGAAAGCAUCUUGAUACAUUUGCAUUCUUGUGUGGUUUCUAGACUUUUUCAUAUGGAACUCUUUACUCUUUUGAAAUAAACUGCACGUAGUUAUUUAAAGGAGCUCUUGCCAGCUCAGUGGAAACAAACACUACACAAAGGCUUGACCGUAUCAGCUGGCAAUUGCUUGCUCCUUCAAGCUAAGAGUGAAGUACUAACCACAACUCAUUUAGGCUUCUAUAAAACCAGCACAAAACCUUCUCCAAGAUUUCAGUUGCUUCCAGGCAUGGCGUGGAAUGUUUCCCAGCAUGUUUGUCUGGAUUACCCAAAGAACAAGACAUUCACAACCUCUUCUGGUUUCUCCUUCACUGAGAACAUUCAGAUUCUUUGCAGAGGUGGCACCAGCACUCAUCAGAAGGGUUCCUGUAUUCCUCCAAGGGAAGCCAUAGGCAAGUGCACUUGUCGUGCCUUGUUAAAGCUUUUGCUCCAGUGUACAAAAUCUGUUUAUGAUUUCUGGUUUUGUAUCUCAGACUAAGAGAAAACACCGUGCUCCCCAUGGCUCUUCCCUGAUGAAGAAGUGCACUGUUAGCCUGGCAAACCAGCAGCAGGAGCAGAGGAAACGCUGGAUUAAAAACGCUCCAGUGUGCUGCAAUUACCCAACGUGGCUUUUGCUUCUCAACAGCCCUAAUUUUUCCCGUUGUUUUGCAUUUCAAAGAUGAAUAAAGCAUACAUGUAGCCAACUGUCGGUGUCUCUGCUGAAAUGAUACAGUGGUAUAGCCCUGACACAGCCCCAGACUCUCACACAGAAGACACACAUUAUUCAUAAAGUGGUUCUCCCUAAAAAUGGAGCACUCCUGCAAUCUCUUCCACUUCCUAAAUAAGCUAACAGCUUCUGUGUAGAGGUAGUGAAUGACCACAAGAAGAAUGCCAGGAUGUCCUUCCUGUCUGGACACCAGUCUAGAGAAAUAGCUGUGGGGAGAGGUUUACAUCAAAGCAAACUACUCUGCAUUUGUAUUUGAAGCAAACUGAUUACUCCAAAGCAAAUCAUUUUUUUUUAUAGAAGAGUAUCCGCACUGGAAACUGUUCUAAUAAAUUUCACUACACUGCCAAGCACUGACUGGAAAGAGUAAUACUUUUAUUUCAAACAACAUCAAGCCGAUGUGAACUCAUUUUAAGGCCAUUUCCAUUGUAAGAGUAGUAUCAGCAGUGCACAUUUCUGUUCAGAGAUUCUUAUCUCAGCACUCCCAGGAGUUGUCUUCCAGGAGGUUACCAAAGUGACAGAUACGUGGAAAGCUUUAAUUUUCUCGCUAGAAGGAGAAAUAUUUCUCCUUCUCUUCCUUAGCAUACCUUUCCCUUAAGGUCAGGCUUGUUCCCCAAGAGUCCCUUACAUACUGUUGGGAAGUGCUUAAGGUCUGUCUUGCACAGUUCCCAUGGCAAACACAGCUGGGCAUGUAUCCGUUUCCAUCAGCGUUAGAGAACAUGAUCUUCUGCCUUGUAGCCUUUUGAUGACAACUCCCAUCAAAUCUAGGAAGCUCAAUUCUAAGAAGUCAUUUUCCUUGAAAAGCGUUCCACAGCCUCCUAAGUUCAGCUUUUUCCAUUUUUAACAAUACUUCCAUAACUCCUUUCCCAACCAGCAGACAUCAUUUCAUUUCGCAACGGAUUAAUACUCUUUCAAUUAAGGAAAGCAACAUUAGAGUUGGGUUUUCAUCACAGAGUGCAGUUCUUGCACAUCCACUUCUCCUGGGAAAGAUGGCACUGACAUCUCAUCGUUAGUGCAGGCACUGCACGGUCUGUGACAAAGCCUCGGACAAGGCAGCCUCUGUCACAAGGAUUUUAAUCCCCACUGCAGUGCAAGGAAGUGAGGAGGCAGACUGGAGGAAGAAGAAGAGACAUACAAAGGCUAAUUAAAAGAAGAGGCCUCAGCAACAUUUAAACUCCAAUUGUUUGAACAGUUGUACAGUAAGUGCUUUAGGAGAAGAGGUUAAUACGUGGUAAAUUAACUGGCAGUCACUUUCUUUUUUUCCAAUGUAUAUUUUACUGCUAAUAAGUUGUUGGGCUUCCAACAGCAGAGUGCACAUGCUCUGCUUUUCUUUCAAACAUACAGAAAUUGGCAGGGCUGUCUCUUCCUGCUUACAUCCCAUUGUACUGCCUUGGAAUUGCUCCUGUUUCCAUCCAGCAUCAUCCAGUGGUUGAAAAGCAGUACAGUGAGCAACGGAGCGACAUGGCGCUCUCUCCUGCAGCUCUGCCUGUGCAUGGCUGUGGGUACAAAGCUUUCUUCCUCUUGACAUGGGACAGUGAGGCAGGAGAUUUUACUGCAGCAAACACUUCAAAAUAGAAUGAAUUGCAGUGACAGAGGAGGAAGCAGGUAACUGGAGCUGUCUGUGCCAAGGAAUCGAAUCUAGGACAAGGUUCUGCAUGGAGCAGCUGGCAUGCAGCUUCUUCCCAUUCCCUUUCCUGCUGACCUCAAUGUGUGGUGCUCCUAAUAUUACAAAAUGAAGAUUGUUAUUAUUAUUAUUUCUGCACAGUCUAUUUUUUUUUUCCCACAAUAAGGGGUUUUUAAGCCAGCAGCUUUUUGUCAUUUGGAAAACAUUCUGACUUCUGUUUGUCAAGUCCACAGCUCCUCUGCUGCGCUGCGGGGAAGAGGCGUAACUGAAAGCUGAUUCUGUGGACUGUGAUUGUCUGCAGGUCUGCUUUGCCAGUCAAUUUCUUUCCUUUCCCUUUUUUUUUUUUUUAAUCCAUUAAGCAGUAUACUUCAAAAUCCUGGUACUUUUCAGGUGGUUGACUUCGUCUGAAAGCUUUCAAAGAGCUGAAUCGCACACAUUUCCCAUUUAACUGAGUAUCUGUGAGCAUACAAUU